UAUGUAGUCAAUGGUUAAGUUGCCGAGGCUUAUUUUUAAUGAAAAAAAUAAAUUCUAGUUAUUAGAUGUUCUAGUUAUUAGAAGAAUUCUACGACAGUAUUCGUUUAUGGAAAGAAAAAAAAACGAAAAUACGAAUAAAAAAACAGUAGAUCCAUGUAAAUUCAAUUUGUCAUCAAAUUUCAAAUUUAUAUUCCCGCCACUACGAAUGUGGUAACACUGUGUGAUUAAUAGUAACCGUGGUCGAUAUUGAAUGGGGUUCAACGUCGUCUUGCCCAAAAUACACAUAAUUUAACCGAUGCCGUACAUAACAAAGAAUUUACCGCUUUUUUUUUUGCUUACUCAUAGUCAUAACUUAAUAAUCGGCAUAACCUAACUUAUAUAUAUAGAAAUGUAGAAUUACAACACUUCAUUAUUCAGCUUCAGUCAUUUCGAUUUUCGGUAUCGUUGGCCGUUGUUUUUUUAGAUCGUUGGCCGUUGUUUUUUUAGAUCGUUGGUGGUCGAUGGAGAGUGGUAUUCAUUUCAUAGAGUUAAUUACUCUGUGGUUCAUGUAGUAUUUACUGCUUGGGAUUUGUUGUAACUUGUUAUCCAGAAAUUCAUUAUCCACCGGAGGCCAGAUCCGGGACCAUUGACCGUCGUAUUUACCACAUUGGAUCAAUUGUAUCUCCUACAGUUUUUGUGAGUGUAAAUGGUUUGUCGUUUAUAUGUAUCAAGUUCAAGCACAUCUCGCGUAACUGGAGUUAACCAUCUGCACGUGCCUAAAGUCAUUCAGAAUCAAUUAUUUUUGUAAUUUUUUGGAUCUUGACACUUCUGCAUGGGUGAAACCAAUUGGUGGUUCAGUCACAAUUUAAGAAAAUCAUGAAAAUCUGAACUAUUCUCGGUGAAAAAAUGUUUUAUGACCAACAUGGUUUUAAGAUAUAUUUAAAAAAACAGGACAAUUUAGCGUUGUAACAUCAGCACAGACGUGAAUACAGUAUUUUUCCAUUUAAUAUGGAUGGAACAUCUGGCUACCCUAGUAGGUAAGUAGGUAAUAAAAAGUAUCCAGAAAUUAGGUAUUGAAAGACAAUUUAAUGUUUAUGGUAUAAUAAUGUUUGUUAUGCUUGUGUGUUGUAAAUCUGCUAGUAGUUAAUAUAGUUUGAAAGGUUCUGAAAUGGUGUCCAACUGGCAAGCAGUGUUUAUUUUAAUAUUGAUCGACUAGGUAGGUAUAUUAGCCAGUAAGUAAGUUCAUCUUGGUUUUUACUUAUGAAAAAUGAUCUUAUUAAAUUUAUCAUCAAUUUAGUUACAUGUAACCAACAGCAUGUGAUAAAACAAAUUGGACACUACUGAAUGGUUAAUUUUUAUUUAAAAAAAUGUUUAAAAAUUAGGAAUUUGGUUAUGUAAUAAUUUUUUUAUAUUAAGCAACAUUUCAACCUUGAAAAAGAUCUCUGUGGUAGCUGUUAUCUAUUUGCAUAAAAUUAGAACCUAUUUAUGAAUGUUAGGAAAAAUUUGUUUACCUAUUGAAGUGCAUUGAUAGUCAUAUAGGAUUGAAUAGUGUUAGGGAUUGCUUUGAGUCUUAAAUUUUUAUUUUUACAACCUUAAUUCUGUUAUAUGUAUUGUAUACUUACUAUUGUAAUGCUAUGAAUUAUGAUUUACCAAUGGUGUAUACAAUUGUACAUUUUUAAAAUCUUAUCAUUCUUUAGAUGAUACAUAAGAAUUAGUAGUAUGUUUAUUGUUAUGUAUUUAGUACCAUCAAUCAGGGUGACUUGGAACAAUUUUGGCCUUUUAACUACUUUAACAGGUUCAUUAUUAAUAAUUAAAUUUUGUAUGAAAUUUUAUACUUAAAUACAUGCUUACAACUAUUUUAAUUAAUUCUAAUUUAUGUGGGUUUGCCAACAUAUUUUCUCAUUACAAUUUAAUUCAUUAAAUAUUAGAGAAUUGAGAGCAAAAUAGUUUUUAAUUAAUACAGCAAAACCCCUAAAUAGCAGACCUUCUUGGUUAUCAAAAUUUGUCUACUAUUCAGAGAGUCUGCUAUUGGGAGGUGUUUGUUAAGGAAGGCUUUACUGUACCUUUUAUGAUUUUUAUAAGCCUAAGUUAUUAGUUAAAAUAAAAUUUUUUUAUAUCAACCAACUUUGUAAUAAUCAUUAUGGUCAUAAUUAUAGUCUGUUUAAUUUUUAAUAAGCAUUUUUUCAGGAAAUGUAGACAAAUUUUGGUAAAAUAGUUCUUACAACAAGGCCUGCAAUAUAAUCUAAUAUAUUUAAUUUUUGGUCAUAUAAAUUAGAGCUAUUACUAUACACAAUUAUUUCAUUUAAUAUGUUGAGUGCCAUAAGAUCCACAUUUAGGUUUCACUCAUCUUUGACCAAACUCCCACAUGAUUUUUGGUAUGGUUUACUUGAAAAAGAAUUUGAAAAAAAGUUGUCCAAAUGGUUUGAAAUUUUACACAUACUAUUAUAAUGGUUAUCAGAAGGGGUUAAUAAUAUUUUUAACUGUCUAGGAGUGAGACCCCAAAAUAGGUUUGUGGGUAAAUUGAGUCGCCCAUCAAAGAUAUAUUGUUUUUCUAGUAUUUUGAGAUUGACAAAAUACAGUUAAAAAUAUUAUUGGUAAAGGUAGA
rnacentral:lncRNA from 1 species